CUUCUUCUGUAUCAUCACUUUACUUACCAUGCUUUGUAGUUUUUAGAAAGCAAAGGCUUUUCAUCCUUUUUCCUAUUUUUAGAAAACAAGAGAUAGAGAGAGCAAAGUCUCAUCCAAAGUUUCUCGUCGUCAAACUCUGUUCCACUGCUGGGAAGGAAAUUAUAACCAGAAGUUGAAGAGGGUUUAUCAGGGAGCAAAGGUUCAAUAUCAAGAACAAGAGAGAGUAGUAGAUCAGAUUUUACUAAGAAGCGAGAGAGAAAUACGGGAAAGUCCUUUUGUCAGCUAACGAAUGACGGCAACCUUUUGGGCGGCGGAACAUUACCACUCUACCAACAUGUUGAGCCGGAGGAUCUUCCCGUUAAUCUCGGCUUAAUGUUGAUGGUAAGUUAUCUUGUAUCUUCUUCUUCUUCUGAUCGUUGUUUAGCUCGUUCGUUUUUUGCUUUUCUAAUUUUUUAUAUUUGAUCGUUUUUUUUUCCAAACUCGCUAGUAAUUUGUAGAAUUGAAUUAGCUCCCCAAAGUAUCAUAUCUAUACUUACAAGUAAUGAAAUAUAUACUCUGUACCAUAGUUUGAAUAUAUAUAUGGCAUAUGCGAAAAACUAGAUAUUGUUUUAUAGAAGUAAUAUAUUGAUGGUAGUCUUCUUCUGAUCGUUGUUUUAUAAGCGAAUACUCGUACUCUCAACAACAAUUGUGUAGCUCGUUAGUUUGUUUAGUUUUCCUGAUUUGAUAUUCUUUCCAAACGCGCUAGUAAUUUUGCUAUACAAUUACGAUUUUGGUAUUUUUACUUUGCCGCUCUUUGGCUUGCUCGACACUUUAUUGAAAUUUUCUCAAUAAAUUGGACACAUUUAAUAUUAGACAGUUAAAUUUUUGAUUCCAUCGACAGAAACCACAACCAAAUCAUGUCUCUGUUAACCUUGUUUCUCACAUAUGUUUUACAUGUGUAUAUCAUGCUAACACUGCAAAAGGUUCUGAGUUAAAAAAAAAAAAAAA